AACGCAAAUUGCACUUUCUGGUAUUCCGGAAAGUAUGCCUGUUUGAGGGUCAGUUAAAUAAAAAUCGGUGUUGUUGCUGCCUUUCGUGGUGACGCGUCGGAAUUGGGUCGUCUUUACCUUCGGUUAAGUGACUUAAAAUUUUUUAUGAUUUUCGAACGUAUUUAAAUUGCUUACGUACGUUUGAGAUAUCAAAUGUUUAUUAGGUUCGGUCAUCCUCAUGAUUCGCGCCUAUAAUUUUUCAUUAAAUGACCUCAAAUCAGGUAAGAAUACCCGCUGAACUUAA
rnacentral:misc_RNA from 1 species